AAACUUAAAGGAAUUGACGGAAGGGCACCACCAGGAGUGGAGCCUGUGGCUUAAUUUGACUCAACGCGGGAAAUCUCACCAGGCCCGGACACUGGAAGGAUUGACAGAUUGAUAGCUCUUUCUUGAUUCGGUGGGUGGUGGUGCAUGGCCGUUCUUAGUUGGUGGAGUGAUUUGUCUGGUUAAUUCCGAUAACGAACGAGACUCUGUCCUGCUAAAUAGUGUCGGCCUCUCUUUUGGGCCGACAAUUCUUCUUAGAGGGACUGGCAGCUCCUAGCUGCACGAGAUAGAGCAAUAACAGGUCUGUGAUGCCCUUAG
rnacentral:rRNA from 1 species